UAAUGAGCCAAGAGCACAUCUUUUAGAGUUAAGAGCGUGGACCACUUCCACACUCGAAGUGUGAGGGGACAUACUAUGAGCUAGAGAGAGGCAAAUAAAUAGAAGUUUACAUGCCACACAGUCAUUUAGGCUUGUAACACACACAUAGAGCAGCAAACUCUCAGGCUCCUCUGCAGAAACGCUGCAGCCUGUCUGCCGGCAUGAAGCAGAAUUUCCUAAUCCCAUUAGCUGGGCCCUGGUACCUAUCGGUGUGUUAUUAACUAACCUUAAUUUAAGAAGCUGUAAAUUUUGAGAAGAUUAUACACCUAACACUCCUGAGACUGACUCGAGUGCAUUACACUGGCCUCUGACAAGAAUGUGUCCAUUCUGAGCAUUUGUAUUUGGCUCUAUUCUGAUAAAAACUCAAAAUGUAGCUCCUUAUAAAAUGAACCUGAUAAGUGAGACUCUAGAUCAGCGUGGUCCCAUAGGAAUAGAAUGCAGGUCGCCGAACUACGUGUGUAAUAUUACCUUUUCCAACGACUAUUAAACUAAAUAAAAAUAAACAGAUGAAGUCAGUUUUAAAGACAUAUUUAUCUAACCUAUGAUAUUAUCGUAUCAAUAGGUAACCAGUAUACAUUUAUUAAUGGAGUAUUUUACAUUUUUCCAUAGUGCCGUCUGGUAUUUUGCAACAAUAGCACAUCUCAGCUCAAACCAGCCCCCCCUCAAGUGCUCAGUAGCUCACGUGGCCAGUGCAGGGGUAGACGGGCCAGGUAAUGAGAAGCCUCUUAGGAAAGUCUUCCCAAGAUUCUGCUUGGCCAAGAGAAGCUCACGCGGAGGUGGAGGCCAAGGUGUGUGCGGCAGCCGUCUGGACAUCUGUGCGAUCGACGCCGACGUUGGAAGAGUCAUAGAGCGUGUUCUUCUUCGGAUGAGCCACUUCCAGAGAGUCAUCCUAAGAGACCAUCACACCACACACAUAUCUCACCUAUGAACGCAGUCGGAGCCCCCGAAGCGCUAUGGGGCCGUCCUGUCCUUGACCUAUGGGUGCUGGGGUUGUGUGCCGCGUGCCCUCCGUCGCUGGCCCACGUGGAGGAGGUGGGCGGAGGCAGUUUCAAUUGUGAGUUUAUUUACACGUGGGGCUCACCUGUGUUUCUGUGUUUUCAAAGCUUUUGCUUAAAACUCUUUUUUUUUUUUUUAACUUUUAGAAGGGAAAAUUGAAAACCUUCCAAAAUUAAAAUGAAGAAAUAGAAUGUGCCGGGUGGAUAUCUCUCCAGUUUGAAGGCUAAUUGCAAAAUAGACGUUUGGACUUUGAGCUCCUAGUUAUCUGCUCGCAUCCCAUCUUAUAAAGAUAAAAACCGGUCUGUGAAAUCUUUGUAAAAAUAUAUGAAACAAAUGGUGGAACAUGUGGAGGAAAUAAUUUAAAAAAUGAAAAUUUCCCUGCAAUCCAACGAAUCAGCUAUUUUUAGAAACGCCUAAUGCUCCGUGUCACUACGGAGCCAAUCAAAAUCAGGUUUUUAGUUUUCGAAACAAUAAAACGUUGCACGCUGUUUACAAGAAAGGAAUGUGAAGUUGAUAAAUCUGACUUCGGUUCUGUGACUGACUCACUAUGAAAUAAGGAAGUGCGCGUAAAUUAUUAUUUUUUUUUCGAAUUAUCUUUAGGAGAGACACUUACCCUGUGAACAACCUACUGAAGACCUUUAUGAGCGUGAAAACGUAGGGAGGGACCGGCCUGUUAGCCUUUUCAACUUUAUUCUAAUUCCUUCAUCAAUUCUUGUUUUUGCUUAUCUUGAUCCAGAAAAGAAGUGACUGGGCUCUGAUUUCCAGAGACGAUUCACCGGUGGACAGCUCAGCACCAUCCCCUGCCAGUGGGCUGGGUGUCCACCCUGCAGGGAGGGAGGGGGCCCUGGCCGAGCUCCUUGAACGGCACGGGGCGGUGGGGGGGGUGGCACAGCGGGACGGGGCCAAGGUCUCUCCCUCCAGGGAUAGGAAGGAGGCUGACACUUUUGUAUUUAGCAGAAGAUAACUUCUGCUAUGUUUUAAAUCUCAUAUGUUAGUGUUUUUGAUUUUCUUUUAAUCUGCAUGUCUUAUAACUUCCCAAGGCAUUUUAAGGAGCCAACACUAAGAGUUAUUUUUGGGGAAAAAAAAAAAUCCAAUAUUUUACAUUUUCUCGCCAUGACAUCAGAUUAGGGCUUUGUCAUGACAACGCAAAUUCCAGAGUUUGAGAUUCCUUCCUCUCCUGGAGGUGAGAGAGUGGCAACAGAUGUGGAGUCUACGUGGAGUCUAGUCUAGAGUCUCCUUCCCUCUCCCUAAAGCCUUCUUGAUGAAGCCCAAACGAGAUCCACACAUACUCUUCCGUUUACAAACAUCUGCUUAUAAAUACUUAACUCCUAUAGAUGUUCAUAAAUCCAUAAUUUAGGAAAAAUAUAGGAAAGAGAAACAUUUCUGAAAAAGAUAGUGAACUCUCUUCUACCGUCUGGAUUCUCUAAGAUAUAUAAUGUAUAAUUUCAUCAAUAUGAUACAAAUUAUAUGUGACAUACUA
rnacentral:lncRNA from 1 species